UGCAAGUCGAACGGCAGCACGGAGAGCUUGCUCUCUGGUGGCGAGUGGCGAACGGGUGAGUAAUAUAUCGGAACGUAUCCAAUAAUGGGGGAUAACGAGUCGAAAGAUUCGCUAAUACCGCAUACGCCCUACGGGGGAAAGCAGGGGAUCGUAAGACCUUGCGUUAAUGGAGCGGCCGAUAUCUGAUUAGCUUGUUGGUGAGGUAAAGGCUCACCAAGGCGACGAUCAGUAGCUGGUUUGAGAGAACGACCAGCCACACUGGAACUGAGACACGGUCCAGACUCCUACGGGAGGCAGCAGUGGGGAAUUUUGGACAAUGGGGGCAACCCUGAUCCAGCCAUUCCGCGUGAGUGAAGAAGGCCUUCGGGUUGUAAAGCUCUUUCGCAAGGGAAGAAAACUUAUGAUCGAAUACAUCAUGAGGUUGACGGUACCUUGAUAAGAAGCACCGGCUAACUACGUGCCAGCAGCCGCGGUAAUACGUAGGGUGCGAGCGUUAAUCGGAAUUACUGGGCGUAAAGCGUGCGCAGGCGGUUUUGUAAGUCGGAUGUGAAAUCCCCGGGCUCAACCUGGGAACUGCGUUCGAAACUGCAAGGCUAGAGUGUGUCAGAGGGGGGUAGAAUUCCACGUGUAGCAGUGAAAUGCGUAGAGAUGUGGGAGGAAUACCAAUGGCGAAGGCAGCCCCCUGGGGAUAACACUGACG
rnacentral:rRNA from 1 species